GCAUACAAACAGUCGGAGCCCGGAAACGGGUGACGGCGUACCUUUUGUAUAAUGGGUCAGCGACUUACAUUCAGUGGCGAGGUUAACCGAAUAGGGAAGCCGUAGAGAAAUCGAAGUCCGAAUAGGGCGUUCAGUCGCUGGGUGUAGACCCCGAAACCAAGUGAUCUAUUCAUGGCCAGGAUGAAGGUGAGGUAACACUUACUGGAGGUCCGAACCGACUAGUGUUGCAAAACUAGCGGAUGAGCUGUGGAUAGGGGUGAAAGGCUAAACAAACUUGGAAAUAGCUGGUUCUCUCCGAAAACUAUUUAGGUAGUGCCUCAAGUAUUACCAUCGGGGGUAGAGCACUGUUAUGGCUAGGGGGUCAUGGCGACUUACCAAACCAUUGCAAACUCCGAAUACCGAUGAGUACAGCUUGGGAGACAGUGCACCGGGUGCUAACGUCCGGGACACAAGAGGGAAACAACCCAGACCGCCAGCUAAGGU
rnacentral:rRNA from 1 species